rnacentral:rRNA from 1 species
AGAGUUUGAUCCUGGCUCAGAGUGAACGCUGGCGGCGUGCUUAACACAUGCAAGUCGAACGAGCAAGAGCCGUAGCAAUACGGAGUUCUGCUAGUGGCAAACGGGUGAGUAAUACAUGGGAAUCUGCCCUAAAGACAGGGAUAACAGUUGGAAACGACUGCUAAUACCUGAUAAUACCGAGAGGUUAAAGAUUUAUCGCU